rnacentral:tRNA from 1 species
AGCAAUUUGGCGCAGUGGAAGCGCGGUAUGUUUACCAUUAUCUGCAUCAUAAAACCAAUACUAACAGACUCAGCCGGGCUCAUAACCCGGAGGUCGCACGAUCGAAACGUGCAAUUGCUA